rnacentral:rRNA from 1 species
AGAGUUUGAUUAUGGCUCAGAGUGAACGCUGGCGGCGUGCUUAACACAUGCAAGUCGAACGAGAGCGGAACUAGCUUGCUAGUUUGUCAGCUAAGUGGCGCACGGGUGAGUAAUGUAUAGUUAAUUUGCCUCUUAGAGGGGGAUAGCCACUGGAAACGGUGAUUAAUACCCCAUACUCCUUCUAUGUUAAUCAUAGUUGGGAAAUGUUUUUUCGCUAAGAGAUAAGACUAUAUGGUAUCAGGUAGUUGGUGGGGUAAGAGCCUACCAAGCCAAUGACGCCUAGCUGGUCUGAGAGGAUGAUCAGCCACACUGGAACUGAGACACGGUCCAGACUCCUACGGGAGGCAGCAGUGGGGAAUAUUGCACAAUGGAGGAAACUCUGAUGCAGCAACGCCGCGUGGAGGAUGACGCAUUUCGGUGUGUAAACUCCUUUUAUAUGGGAAGAUAAGGNGGG